rnacentral:rRNA from 1 species
UACGUAGGUGGCAAGCGUUGUCCGGAAUUAUUGGGCGUAAAGCGCGCGCAGGCGGUCCUUUAAGUCUGAUGUGAAAGCCCACGGCUCAACCGUGGAGGGUCAUUGGAAACUGGGGGACUUGAGUGCAGAAGAGGAAAGCGGAUUCCAACGUGUAGCGGUGAAAUGCGUAGAUAUCUGGAAGAACACCAAAGGCGAAGGCAAUGUUCUGGCUCGUUUCUGACGCUCAGGUGCGAAAGCCAGGGGAGCGAACGGG